UCUCCGUAGGUGAACUUGCGGAGGGAUCUUUACUGAGAGAGGGCUCACGCCCGACCUCCAACCCUUUGUGAAAACAUCUUGUUGCUUCGGGGGCGACCCUGCCGGCACUCUGUCGCCGGGCGCCCCCGAAGGUCUCCAAACACUGCAUCUUUGCGUCGGAGUUUAAAACAAAUUAAACAAAACUUUCAACAACGGAUCUCUUGGUUCUGGCAUCGAUGAAGAACGCAGC
rnacentral:misc_RNA from 1 species